rnacentral:rRNA from 1 species
GGCGUGCUUAACACAUGCAAGUCGAACGUGAAGCCUGGAGCUUGCUCCAGGUGGAAAGUGGCGGACGGGUGCGUAACGCGUAGGCAACCUGCCCUUGAGUGGGGAAUAACCAUCGGAAACGGUGGCUAAUACCCCAUGAUGUCUGAUUCUCGCAUGGGAAUUUGAUCAAAGCCUUCGGGCGCUCAGGGAUGGGCCUGCGUCGGAUUAGCUUGUUGGUGAGGUAACAGCUCACCAAGGCAACGAUCCGUAGCUGGUCUGAGAGGAUGAUCAGCCACACUGGCACUGAGACACGGGCCAGACUCCUACGGGAGGCAGCAGUGAGGAAUAUUGCGCAAUGGGCGAAAGCCUGACGCAGCCACGCCGCGUGGAGGAAGACACCCCUAUGGGGCGUAAACUCCUUUUAUGCGAGAAGAAAUCCCCGACAUGUCGGGGCCUGACGGUAUCGUAUGAAUAAGCUCCGGCUAACUCCGUGCCAGCAGCCGCGGUAAUACGGAGGGAGCAAGCGUUGUUCGGAAUCACUGGGCGUAAAGGGCGCGUAGGCGGCCCUGCAAGUGGUGUGUGAAAUGCCCUGGCUCAACCAGGGAACUGCGCUCCAUACUGCAGGGCUUG